AUUUAAAUAGCUUAAUUAAGAGUAUAAUAUUGAAGAUAUUAGGGUGAUUAUAUAAUCUUUAAAUA
rnacentral:tRNA from 1 species